AGUGUAGCUCAACUGGCAGAGCACCGGUCUCCAAAACCGGGGGUUGGGGGUUCGAGUCCCUCCACUC
rnacentral:tRNA from 1 species